rnacentral:lncRNA from 1 species
UUAGUAACAUUUAGUGCUUUGGUUCGUGAUUAAAAUAAAAAUGAGAAAUAAAAUUGAGUUUUUAUUGGAAUAUGAAAUGGAAUUACGAUUUAUUCAAAAAUAUUUGAUUUAUUAUAGAAAUCAGAAUGACUAAUUGUACAUCAAGAAUUUUGAGAGAAUUUUUUGGUUAAGACAGAGCAGAGUGAUGAAGGGAGAAAAGGAAGAGAUAUUUGUAAGAGAAGAUUUUGAGUAGCUUACUCUGUAAUGAACUAAUUUAUAAUUUAAAGCUAGAUUUGGUCAUAAAAAAAUUUAGGCAUUUUUUUUCGAGAGUGGAAUGAAAAUCAGAAUUCUAUCAUUCUAAAAUAUGACCAUCGAAAUCGAUGAAUUUAAUUCUGUUUUUAGAGUUCAAAUUAGGGCAUGUUUGUUUCAACGUAAGUAGACUUGGGGUGGAAGUGGACUUUGGGUUGAAGUGGAGUUGGGGUGAAAAUUAAUUCACUUCCGCUGUUUAUUUCUAACGAUGGAAGUACAGUUCUGCAAGUUCUGUUGUUUGUUUGGUUGGAAGUAAAUAACGUAAAAAAUGUAGCUCUUCACCUCUGGUAUACUUACCUCCGAAGUGAUAUCAUUGUCUAUUUUGUAACUUAGUGAAUAAUAAAUUAUAAUGAAUAAAAAUUAAUAUAAUUAUAUAUAUAUAUAUAUAUAUAUAUGUAUAAUUAUAAAAUAAAAUUUUAAAAAAUUAUAUUAUUUGUUUGCAUAUAAAUUAAAAUAAUACAACAAAUAAAAUUCUAAAGUUAAAAAAUUAUUAACAUUUAACAAAUUCAUUUUUCAUCAUUUUCUAAAUAUACAAAUUAAACAAAAAAUAUAUUAAAACUUACCUAACCAAAUUUGAUCAUAUUUUAGACAUACAAUCAAAAUAAAAAAUUUAAUUACUUCCACAAUUGAAUAUAUUUGGAGUUGGGUCUGGGACUCAGGAGAGGAAAAGGUAGAGAAGAGGGAAACCCUAACCUAUGGUAGUAAAUUCGCGAAUUAUUCGCGAAUUAUUUGCGAAUUUUUGAAGAAACGAAUUAAACGACCAAAUUCGUAUUUUUUCUAAAAAUUCGGAAAAAAAAUGAUUGUUUGAUAAAAAAGACUUAUUCGCGUAUUAUACGUGCGCCGAAUUAUUCGGA